rnacentral:misc_RNA from 1 species
GUCCAGAAUUUUUUUUUCCAGCACCUCCCUGUUCAUCUUCCUCCCAGCCGGCUUUCCUCCCCUGCUGUUGCUCGCCCCUUCCUCCUUUCCCUGGUGCUGCAGCAAGGAGCCCCUGCUCGGGCUGUAGCCGUGGCGUCCAAGUCUCUGCGCAGCAAUGCCGGUCCAAAAACUGCAGCCCCGUCACUUCCCUGGCUUCAUCGCUGCUUUGUGCUGAGCAGUGAACAGCACGCCGUCGACGCUCGCCGGGUGUUUGCUGUUUUUGCGCAGCCCCAUCCGCGACGUCUUUCACCCCCGGUGAGACAACGACGCUCCUUGUUUGAUUCCACAUCGGCGUUAUUUUCAUAUGAUUAAUUGUGUAUGUGUGCUGUUUUAUUUUUGUUUUGUGGAGGAGAGGCACCCCGUGUUUUGCGAGGAGAAGGCAAGCCGCUCGACGCUCGUCGAUGUUCGUAACGAUGCACAAAUCGGAAUCACCAUCGUCCUCACAAACACCGAUUGGGUUUGUUUAUGGACCGAGAGAUGAUGACCGUGCAAGUGAUGUGGUGCCAACCACAAGAUGCAGUUGGUGGACGUACUGAAGGAUGGUGGACUUAACCAGUGGGUGCUCGCCAAGCGAGUACCUCCCCCAGCAAACACUAUCUAAGUGUUAAACUAAAGGUACUCCUUAGGAUGAUUGGUUGAUGGUGUGACUUGGCCUUUAUCCCUGCCACCGGGAUAGAUGGUCGAGUGGGUUACUGCUUCCGCAGGAGAGGACCAGGAGGAGUAGUGUGGCCAGGCUUCGCCAUGUACUCGGUUUUCUCCGUUAGUUAUUUCCGCUGCAUUAAAACUUAUUGUUAUUAUUUCUGAAACUCCGAU